rnacentral:ncRNA from 1 species
UUGCCCUUUGUAUGGUGGUGGAGUUGGAAACACCCACACGGCUACUAUUGCUGCCGAGGAACACCUAAACAGAGGGCGUUU